rnacentral:rRNA from 1 species
AGAGUAGGGCGGGACACGUGGUAUCCUGUCUGAAUAUGGGGGGACCAUCCUCCAAGGCUAAAUACUCCUGACUGACCGAUAGUGAACCAGUACCGUGAGGGAAAGGCGAAAAGAACCCCGGCGAGGGGAGUGAAAAAGAACCUGAAACCGUGUACGUACAAGCAGUGGGAGCACCUUUAUGGUGUGACUGCGUACCUUUUGUAUAAUGGGUCAGCGACUUAUAUUCUGUAGCAAGGUUAACCGUAUAGGGGAGCCGCAGGGAAACCGAGUCUUAACUGGGCGUUAAGUUGCAGGGUAUAGACCCGAAACCCGGUGAUCUAGCCAUGGGCAGGUUGAAGGUUGGGUAACACUAACUGGAGGACCGAACCGACUAAUGUUGAAAAAUUAGCGGAUGACUUGUGGCUGGGGGUGAAAGGCCAAUCAAACCGGGAGAUAGCUGGUUCUCCCCGAAAGCUAUUUAGGUAGCGCCUCGUGAACUCAUCUUCGGGGGUAGAGCACUGUUUCGGCUAGGGGGUCAUCCCGACUUACCAACCCGAUGCAAACUACGAAUACCGAAGAAUGUUAUCACGGGAGACACACGGCGGGUGCUAACGUCCGUCGUGAAGAGGGAAACAACCCAGACCGCCAGCUAAGGUCCCAAAGUCAUGGUUAAGUGGGAAACGAUGUGGGAAGGCACAGACAGCCAGGAUGUUGGCUUAGAAGCAGCCAUCAUUUAAAGAAAGCGUAAUAGCUCACUGGUCGAGUCGGCCUGCGCGGAAGAUGUAACGGGGCUAAACCAUGCACCGAAGCUGCGGCAGCGACACUAUGUGUUGUUGGGUAGGGGAGCG